rfam:Schistosoma haematobium scaffold281_8, whole genome shotgun sequence.
AUCCAGCUGGCGAGUCCCAAAUAGGACAAAAUAAGCGUCCUGGAU